GAGAGAGGGAGACACCGGUAGACGACGUCAAACGCUACGGUAGCCUAUACACUGAGGGAAAAGAGGGGUAGCGCGGGAGGGAAACGUUAGAUAUUAAUAAGUAUAUUUUAAUAUAUGUGUUAGCCCUUAAAUGUUUAUAUAAAUGGACUGCUGGAUUUAUCAAUAGCUGGCUGCUGCAGAAAUAGUUUUUAAGAAUAUAGCCUUGUAGCCUAAUUAUUGCAGAAAUUUGAGUAUUCUAACAGGCAGGGCAGUACUCAGAGAGUGACUGACUGGCUUUACCGGAUUUGCCAAGAGUCGUGACGAGAGGAUAUAGCAAAUAACGGAUCACCAAGGCACCGGGUUGGGGAUAUGUGAUCUGAUGAUCGCUUGCCAAGACGUGAGACCUUAACCGGAGCAGCAACUCCACUGAUCUGUUACGGAUUCGAAAUCGGGAGAGGGAGCGAUUGGCACAAAGAGCGGAGAACGAAUCGCAUUGAGCCUACUAUUCCCGGAGGGAGGAUAACAGGAGACGCGCACUGAAGACAACAACGCCACGGUAAAACGUGGUUAAAAUAAACAAAAUCAUCUCAAAUUACUCUCGGGAUUAUUUUUCAACGUGGAGUGAAGGAUCUCUUGAAAUCGGGGCUCCGAACACUCUCACGUCCUAAAGAGGACCACGACUCUGCUCGCACUCACCGCGCUCUUCUCACCUCGAACCCCGCAGAGCGCCUGUCGUUCUCCCCGCUGUCUCCCGAUGAAGGAAGCCGACGCGAUCAAGCUGUUCGUGGGGCAGAUUCCUCGGAAUCUAGAGGAGAAGGACCUCAAACCGAUCUUUGAACAGUUCGGGAAGAUCUACGAGCUGACGGUGAUAAAGGACAAAUACACCGGCAUGCACAAAGGAUGUGCAUUCCUGACAUACUGUGCGAGGGAGUCAGCGCUGAAGGCCCAGAGUGCUUUGCAUGAGCAGAAGACGCUACCGGGGAUGAACCGACCCAUCCAGGUAAAACCAGCUGACAGCGAGGGGAGAGGAGAAGACAGGAAGUUGUUUGUGGGCAUGCUGGGUAAACAGCAGAGUGAUGAAGACGUCAAGAGGCUGUUUGAGCCCUUUGGCACUAUAGACGAGUGUACUGUACUACGGGGGCCAGACGGCACCAGUAAAGGUUGUGCGUUUGUGAAGUACCAGGGACAUGCUGAAGCUCAGGCUGCCAUUAGCACCCUGCAUGGGAGCCGCACACUGCCUGGUGCGUCGUCCAGUCUGGUGGUGAAGUUUGCCGACACAGAGAAGGAGAGAGGGCUGAGACGGAUGCAGCAGGUGGCAUCACAGCUGGGCAUCUUCAGCCCCACCAUGACACUUAACUUCCCUGCUUACAACGCUUACACACAGGCCGUCAGCGCACAGGCGAUUGUCCAGCAACAAGCUCUGGUUGCUCAGUCAGCGUACCUGUCUCCUGUAGCAACUGUUGCCAGUUUACAGAUGCAGCAGAUGGCAGCGCUCAACGCAAACGGAAUCAUCGCCACGCCCAUCACAUCUUCCUCUGAGUCUAGUAGCUGUCAAUCACAAUAUCUCCUCCACUGUGAUUGGUCCUCCCGGUUUGCAGGUACGAAUACUCCUCCAACCAUCUCAGCCACGCCCGUGCCAUCACUACCUCCACCUCUAGGAGUCAAUGGUUACAGUCCACCAACCAAUGGACAGCAAGCAUCAGAAGCACUAUACACCAAUGGCAUUCAUGCGUACCAAGCCCAGAGUCCAGCAUUAUCUCUAGAUCCUCUCCAGCAGGCGUAUGCAGGCAUGCAGCACUACACAGCGGCGUACCCUGCUGCCUAUGGAUUGGUCGGCCAGCAUUUUCCACAGCAACCUACCCUGGUUGCCCAGCAACACCAGCAGCCCCAGCAACAGCAGCAGCGAGAAGGGCCGGAGGGUUGUAAUAUCUUUAUCUACCACCUGCCUCAGGAGUUCAGUGACAGUGAGAUGCUCCAGAUGUUUCUGCCCUUUGGAAACGUCAUCUCAGCUAAAGUCUUUGUAGACCGCGCCACCAACCAGAGCAAGUGCUUCGGUUUUGUGAGUUUUGACAACCCAUCCAGUGCCCAGACUGCCAUCCAGGCUAUGAAUGGGUUCCAGAUCGGCAUGAAGAGACUCAAGGUGCAGCUGAAACGACCUAAAGACGCCAACCGCCCCUACUGAAGGAGAGAGGAGAGAGAUCCUCCCGUCCAAUCAUAAUUCGCGGGGAUCCCAUCACUAUGGUUACCUAGCGACCGAUAAAGCCCCGACCCCCCUUCCUCUCACGUGUUGUGAAGUUUUCAGACUCCGGCCGUGGUGGAAUCCCAGCGUGCAUUGCGCCCUCAGACCUACUACCUUUCUUUUGAGCGACGGGGAACAGCACACAUACACCACACACACACACACACACACACACACACACACACACACACACACACACACACACACACACACACACACACACACACACACACA